rnacentral:rRNA from 1 species
AUUGAACGCUGGCGGCAGGCCUAACACAUGCAAGUCGAACGAGUGGCGGACGGGUGAGUAAUGUCUGGGAAACUGCCCGAUGGAGGGGGAUAACUACUGGAAACGGUAGCUAAUACCGCAUACCAUCGGAUGUGCCCAGAUGGGAUUAACUGGGAGGGGGGGUAACGGCUAACCUCGGCGACGCUCCCUAGCUGGUCUGAGAGGAUGACCAGCCACCCUGGACAUGAGACACGGUCCAGCCGCCUACGUGAGGCAGCAGUGGGGAAUAUUGCACAAUGGGCGCAAGCCUGAUGCAGCCAUGCCGCGUGUAGGAAGAAGGCCUUCGGGUUGUAAAGUACUUUCAGCGAGAAGGCGUUACUCGCAGAAGAAGCACCGGCUAACUCCGUGCCAGCAGCCGCGGUAAUUC